rnacentral:rRNA from 1 species
UAAUACGUAGGGCGCAAGCGUUGUCCGGAUUUAUUGGGCGUAAAGAGCUCGUAGGCGGCACGGUAAGUCAGAAGUAAAAACGCAAGGCUCAACCUUGCGUCGCUUUUGAUACUGCCGAGCUUGAGUAUGGCAGGGGAGAAGGGAAUUCCACGUGUAGCGGUGAAAUGCGCAGAUAUGUGGAGGAACACCAGUGGCGAAGGCGCUUCUCUGGGCCAUUACUGACGCUGAGGAGCGAAAGCGUGGGUAGCGAACAGGAUUAGAUACCCUGGUAGUCCACGCCGUAAACGGUGGAUACUAGGUGUGGGAAGUAACCAACACUUUCCGCGCCGUCGCUAACGCAUUAAGUAUCCCGCCUGGGGAGUACGGCCGCAAGGCUA